UACGAAGGGGGCUAGCGUUGCUCGGAAUUACUGGACGUAAAGCGCACGUAGGCGGAUUGUUAAGUCGGGGGUGAAAUCCUGGAGCUCAACUCCAGAACUGCCUUUGAUACUGAGAUCUUGAGUCCGGGAGAGGUGAGUGGAACUGCGAGUGUAGAGGUGAAAUUCGUAGAUAUUCGCAAGAACACCAGUGGCGAAGGCGGCUCACUGGCCCGGUACUGACGCUGAGGCACGAAAGCGUGGGGAGCAAACAGG
rnacentral:rRNA from 1 species